rnacentral:lncRNA from 1 species
AUGCCAAUGAGACAACUCUCCACAAAUGACCAACUGACACAGAAAUUAAUAACUUAAGAUCACCGUAUGGCCUUUAACAAUGAGAACAGUCCAUACCGCAAAAUUAGCUAUUAUAGGCCCCGAAUUUUACCAGAUGUGUAAUAACAUAACUUGACUGAUUCCAAAUGUAGAGCAGGAUCUGCUUAACCUUCUGAAUCCUUCGACAAAAGUUUUACUCCCAGUUUUUGGUGGGGUUCUAGUCUUUGGUUUUCUAUGGUGUGUCUUCUGUAUUAUUGUCGGUCUGUCUGCAUGUUUAUUUUUGGCCAUGGCGUUGUCAGUUCGAUUUCGAUCUGUGAGUUUGACUGUCCCUCUGGUGCCUUUUGUCCCUAUUGUAUGUAGACGAUACGCUAAUUUAACGUUUCAAAAUAAUAAGCCGAGUACCUUUGGUAACUAUAAGUAUGUCGGAAUGUUCUAGUACUUGCUUGUUGUUUAUUUCUCCGUUCUGCAUGUUUUUGUAUUUCUUUGUUCUGUAGUCCUGUCAUUCAAUUUUAGUGUUAUAUUUUAACAUUGCAGAAGACGCACAAGGUUUGGCUAGCCACAAAACCAGAUUCAACCCAUCAUGUUUUCUUAAAAUGUCCUGUACCAAGUCAGCAAAAUGGCAGUUGUUAUAUUAUUGCUCGUUCUGUGAGUUGUUUGGUUUUUUGUUGCACUUCAGUGUUUCUGUUGUUUCGUUUUUUUCCCUCUCAUAGUUGAUGUGUUUCCUUUGGUUCUAGUUUGUUAACCGGAUGAUACUUUUCUCAAUCGAUGUAUGAUUUUCGACCAGAGGUAUACUACUGUUGCUUUACAAAACUUUUAUCACCUCGAAACUAAAUAAUUCAUCUGCAGAAACAUGUGUUAUGAUGCAACAAAUAUAUGCAUUUAUUCAAUAUUGGUAUUAUUUAAGUAGAUUUCUCUAUACGAAUUGGAUUCUGAAUGAAAAAGCAUAUUCACCUGGGAAAGUAUUAUUCGUUGCGCUUAACGUCACACGCUUUGACAUGCUUUUACAUUCUUCAAAUUAAACGCAAUGUCGUGUUAAAGAUUGAACAUUUGUUUUUUUAGACAAACAAGGAUUAUUUGAGAGAAAAAAAGUAUGCCAAAAGCCUUGGUGUUUGAUUGAAAUGGUUCCACAGUUAUUGCAAUGUAUAUCCAAACCUCUUAAUAAUAAGACUGAAACCUGCAGAUUCACAAAAUGUAUAAAACUUAAAGCUUUGUUAUCGAUAUCAACGUUUCUUCCGUAUAUUUAGUAUAAUGUCCAAAUGUUGUUUGGCUAGUCUUGGUAUUUGAGAUUUACAAAUCUUCUUUUGCAUAUUAAAACAUUUACAAAAAUUAUGUCAUGUCAUUUAUUUAUAUAACAUGCAGUGUAAUUGAUUGGAACGAUUGCAUACAUUUUUCAAACGAUUAACCAAAACAUUUACAACAAUUAAAUUUCCAAAUUGAAAUGCAUCCAUUUGGAAAGUUAAGGUUUAAAAUAAUGAUAUUUUACAACACUUUUAAAAUAGAAAAAAAUGCUUUAUGUCAUCAUUGUUCCAUAAAAUUUGAACUUGUUUUGCCAUUUUAACGUUUUACUCCCACCAAAUAAUCUAAAAACUAAUGAUUCAACUUGUAAUUUAUACUAGUAGUCACGAUAAUGUAUAGUUUUACAGCAUCUACUCAUUCAAACGUACGAUAAUGUUAUAAUAAACUAAGAGGAGUAUUUCCUUUCAAUAAAAAUGGAGAAUCACAA